UACAGAGGUCUCAAGCGUUGUUCGGAUUCAUUGGGCGUAAAGGGUGUGUAGGUGGCGCGCUAAGUCGGGUGUGAAAUUUCGGAGCUUAACUCCGAAACUGCAUUCGAUACUGGCGUGCUUGAGGACUGGAGAGGAGACUGGAAUUCAUGGUGUAGCAGUGAAAUGCGUAGAGAUCAUGAGGAAGACCAGUGGCGAAGGCGGGUCUCUGGACAGUUCCUGACACUGAGGCACGAAGGCCAGGGGAGCGAACGGG
rnacentral:rRNA from 1 species